CGGGCGUCAGUGUGGGCGCCCCAGUCGCGGAACUGCGCGAGCGAGGGCGUUUGUUAAGGCCUGGCCUGCAGAACGGAGGCGGUUAAUCUUUCUCUUACACAUAGCUAGCAGGCCAGCCAUUAUAGAAGGCAGCAUGCAUUCCAGUCAGCGAGAGUGGCACUUCUAAGCUCCUCCUGGGAACUGUACAGAGCAUCUCAGCAUCAAGUUGCCAUAGUUUUGAACUGUGUCUUGGAGCAUCUCAAUUUAUUUUGUACAUCUGUUAGCAAGAUGUAUCCUAAGGAGGUCACAUGGAGCUGCCA